rnacentral:sRNA from 1 species
UACCUUGUUUUGAUGUACCAUGAAUUGU